AAUAAUGUAUUAGUAAAUGUUGAAAUUAACAAAGAUUAAUAAAUGCUGUAUAAGUGCAGUUCAUUAUUAGUUCAUGUUAACUAAUGUAGUUAACUAAUGUUAACUAAUGAACCUUAUUGUAGUUACCAAUUAAUUGAUUGCCUUCUGGACUGGACUCAUUUUCUUUCUUUUUUUUUGUAGGCUAUUUUGUGGCUGGACAAUUUUUAACUCAUUUUUGUUUUUCUUUUUUUUUGUUUUUCUUUCCUCUCUAACUAAUAGUUUUUUGGGAUACUUGAAUUUGUUGAAUUUUGAAUAUACAGAUUUGAAUGCAGCUCCAUAUCUGAGUCCUGUUUUGUUGUUUUCUAUUUAAGAGUGAUUAUUUUUGGUAUUAUUGCAUUGAUUGCUGGUGUAAAAUCCUCAUCUCAUGUGUAAGACAAAUUAGACUACACAAUAUCUUUGUACAUUUUCUUUACGUGAGACUUAAACAAUGACCUCAAACUUAAACUAAUGACACAAAUCCUGUCUGGCACCCCAGCAUAAAAAAAAAACUAAGAGUGUGGAAAAUGUUACAGUAUGCUACGUUCAUGGCAGAGCCAUAGAGAGAGAGAGUUGCGAGAACUCCAUAGACUCCAAUGGAACGUUUUUUUACAGCAAUGGCGGCUCGUGGAGCCUCGCAAUAGUUCCCGGAAGUAGCAGCCGCGCCGUAGAGUUACAGCAGAACAGACCGUUUGUGAUGCACUUUUAAAAGCACAAAGGGGAUUCAGAUCCUGAAGACUCCAUGCAAUGAUGCUGUCACCACCAGUCUCUGCUCCUUGGAUUUUGCAAGCUUUUCCUUGCUCCUUAUUUUUAAUAAACCUUUAAUAAACAUAAAAGUUCCCAGUGUUGGUUUUUGUGAAAAAGGCAGAUACACCUGUAUAUGAUUAACACACAACUUGGCGCACAAUCUUUAGUUCUAUUUAGAUUGCUCCUGCUGACUUGAACAUAACUUUCUCCUUUCCGUGUCAGUGGGGAAACCAUGCAUUCAUACUGCUUUCUCUGAGUGACUGGAUCAUCCUCAUGCAACACUGCAAACCAUAGCGGGGAGACUACAAGAACAUGUAGGAAAGGACAGACGAAAUGCUUGACAUGCAGUUUAUUAUAAAUGUAUAAAUCCAUUACACUAAAUCAGUGCAAAAGUCAAUGUGUGUAUAAUCAUGUUUUAUUUUAGAAUUGAAUAUAUUGUGUAUGAAUGUAUAUAUAAUAAGUGAAUGGGGUGCAUAAGAAUUGUUAACAUUAAGAUUAAUUAAAUUUCACUUAAUUAAGUUUUACAUUUCACUUAUUUGCAAUGGGUUUUUUAAGACAAUCACCUGUCACCUGCAGGUCUCCUAUCCCUGUAAAACCAUAGUGAACAUGACAUGAUUGCCCUUAACUAACAUACAAUUUUAAAAACAUAAAAAUACUUCAAAACAACUGCAACGCGAUCUUUAAACAAGGUAAUGUUAGCCAGAAAUAUGUUAACAAGGCAGACAACGCUGGUUGACAACACUAAUCCUCAAAUAUUAGCAGUUUUUUAUCUUUUAAAAACAACAUUGCUGUAACUACAAACACAUACUACAUUCACAUGUCGGUGUAUUACAUAAAUAUUGUAAACCGAUGCAUUUAUUGACUACAAAUUACCAAAAAUCACGGUUCUGUCUCUCUAAUCCUAUCUUUUUUAAUUGCCGCCGAAGCACUUCCUGGAACUAUCUGAAGACUACACGAAUCACGUGACGAUCGAGCGUUUUGAACUUCCGUUGUCGCAACUCUGUCUCUCUAUGGCUCUGGUUCAUGGGUGACAUUCGACUCUCGAGUUUGGGGGGGGGGGGGGAUUUCUUUCUUUUUUUUUUUUUUGCAGGUACAAAACGUCUUAUUGUACCUGCAUCGGCAAAUUAUUUGCAGAAAUUUUAAGCAAACAAGUUUAAGUUUGCUUGUUGUUUAUUUACUCAUUUAAUAAUUCACUUAAUUUUAUUAUCACGGGAAAUGAUGCAGACGACAAUAUGUGAAUCAGUGUCCAUCAUUUUGCGAACUACUGGUGAUAAAGAAAAAUGUCACGUCGCAAUAUUGAAAAUAUUUACAUUUUAAACCAUGAAGGCGAGCUAGCAGAAAUCACACAAACAAUGUGCAAACUUUGCGUGAGAGUUAUGCGGGUGAAAUAGUCUCACACGCCAGUCAGUUAUUCGCUAUAUAACAGUAGCUUUUGGCAGAACUCGAAUGCCCUUGCAUUAUUCAGCCUGAGGGUGGCGCUCUAAUGAUGAAGACUUUAGUACACACAACACACAGAAUCUUAGAAUUGUAGUAUUUAAUGCUUCCAAAUGUUGCUUUAGAAUAUUGAAUAUUGUUUUAACUAUUCAAUUGAACAUUGAAUAGUUGUGUGGGAAUUCGAGUGAAGAAAAAUGUCUAUUUUCAGAACAAACAUAAACAAAACAGAACUACUGUAUAUAAAAGCAAGCGAGCACGUUUAAAUUAAAGGGUUUAUACUCUCAUUAAUUUGAUAUGCUACUCCACAUAGGAAGAACAGACAUGCCAACUAGUUACUGACCUGAUGCAAACACAUCUGUGAAGUGGACUGAUAUCGUCUUGGCCUGGCGCGAGAUUUACGUGAGGUAACGUCACGUGGAAAUAAGCGUGACGUUAGGAAAUAACCACAUGGAAUAAGGAAAUAACCAGCCAGAAAUCUGCCCCGAUGGCUCUCUAUGAGAGUGCCCUGCAGUUCCAUUUUACACCACAGAUUUACAUAGGAAAGUUGUGGGGCGCUGUAGAGCUAAGGAGGGCUCCGAGACCGGCUGCCCCACAUGCCUGCUCACUUUACGACUUAAAAUAGAAAAUUGAAAAAAUAUUUGUUACAGAAUGUUGAACACAUUUAUAAUUUAUUAUUAAUUCAGUGUAUAUAGAGGUCUAUGUUAGGAUGAAUAUUCACCUGCCCAUACGACGAGCCGCGGCUGCUACAGAAACUGAAAGUAAAAACUGACUGAGCUUUUGGAACGCUGCAUUAACGGCACACAUUCUCUUAGAGACGAUGCGAAAUGAAUAAAAAAUUAUUUUCUUAAUAUUUCUCUUGUGGCCAGUAGUGAGAAAAAAUUGUAUUUUUCGUGACUCGAGAAGCAGGCUAUUUCGUGUUAAACAAGUAGCCUAGUCUAUAAUCUUUUUAUUAUCCUCACUCACAGUGCGUCAGUUAUGCGGUGAUGCACUAUGAUAUUGUGGGGCAAAUGAAUUGCCAUAUUAAUUUAAUAAUAAAAGUAGCAUAAUAAUAAUAAGAAUAAUUUAAUAGCGCUGCGUGCCCGUCCGCUAUAUGCCACUGUGAAGGGAUAAAUGGUGUUCAGGCACGGCAUCAAAGUGAUUACCUGUUUAAUCCGUUCAGUAGGCUACUGCAAAGUCUCUCCUGUCUCAUGAGUUUUCAGUCAGCGCAAGCAAGAAACGUUUACUGUGUGGACUAGCUUUGACUCUCUGAACAGUGGCCGCGUUUUUUGUGACCACGGAUGAUGCUCGUGUGCAUGCCAUGGGCCGAACGUGUCUUUCCGCGCUCACAGGCAAAGGAGUAUCUUUGAAAGUCUCACGCGCUCAACUGUGCACGAGACGGAAAAUAACACGGGAAAUAGAGUAUACCCAGACCUUGGAGCUGAUGGCUCACAGUAUUCCAUUAAAAAAAAUUCAUGGUCCAAUCC